CGUAACCAAGUUCUACUAUGGGUAUUGUCCAUCGGGUUUGAGAUGAUGGAGCUAACGUUUCGCCAUAUGUUGCCGAACUUCAAUGAAUGCUGGUGGGACAGUAUCGUUCUUGAUAUUUUGAUUUGUAACUGGUUUGGCAUCUGGGCGGGAAUGCGUACCGUUCGAUACUUCGAUGGUAAAACAUACAAGUGGGUCGGUCUCAGUCGUCAACCAAACAUUAUUGGAAAAGU